UCANACCACUAGAGGAGCUGUUNGGCCAUCGACAACCCCCGUUAAACCUCACCACUCUUAGCCCCAGCAGCCUAUAUACCGCCGUCGCCAGCUUACCCCGUGAGGGAAUUAUAGUAAGCUAAAUGGUUAUUGCCACAAACGUCAGGUCGAGGUGUAGCCAAUAGAGUGGGAAGAAAUGGGCUACAUUUUCUGACCC
rnacentral:rRNA from 1 species